rnacentral:rRNA from 1 species
GAUGAACGCUGGCGGCGUGCCUAAUACAUGCAAGUCGAUUGAACGGACCAGAAGCUUGCUUCUCUGAUGUUAGCGGCGGACGGGUGAGUAACAAGUGGAUAACCUACCUAUAAGACUUGGAUAACUUCGGGAAACCGGAGCUAAUACCGGAUAAUAGUUUGAUCCGCAUAGUUCAAAAGUAAAAGAGUGUCUUGCUUUCACAUAUAGAUGGAUCCGCGCUGCAUUAGCUAGUUGGUAAGGUAACGGCUUACCAAGGCAACGAUGCAUAGCCGACCUGAGAGGGUGAUCAGCCACGCUCGAACUGAGACACGGUCCAGACUCCUACGGGAGGCAGCAGCAGGGAUUCUUCCGCCACGGGCGAAAGCCUGACGGAGCAACGCCGCGUCAGUGAUGAAGGUCUCGGGAUCGUAAAACUCUGUUAUCAGGAAAAAACAUAUGUGUAAGGAACCGUGCACAUCUUGACGGUACCUAAUCAGAAAGGCACGGCUCACUCCGUG